rnacentral:rRNA from 1 species
GACGAACGCUGGCGGCGUGCCUAAUACAUGCAAGUCGAACGCACUCUCGUUUAGAUUGAAGGAGCUUGCUCCUGAUUGAUAAACAUUUGAGUGAGUGGCGGACGGGCGAGUAACACGUGGGUAACCUGCCCUAAAGUGGGGGAUAACAUUUGGAAACAGAUGCUAAUACCGCAUAAAACCUAACACCGCAUGGUGUAGGGUUGAAAGAUGGUUUCGGCUAUCACUUUAGGAUGGACCCGCGGUGCAUUAGUUAGUUGGUGAGGUAAAGGCUCACCAAGACCGUGAUGCAUAGCCGACCUGAGAGGGUAAUCGGCCACACUGGGACUGAGACACGGCCCAGACUCCUACGGGAGGCAGCAGUAGGGAAUCUUCCACAUGGACGAAAGUCUGAUGGAGCAACGCCGCGUGAGUGAAGAAGGUUUCGGAUCGUAAAACUCUAGUUGUUGGAGAAGAAUGUAAUCUGAUAGUAACUGAUCAGGUA